rnacentral:rRNA from 1 species
GACGAACGCUGGCGGCGUGCUUAACACAUGCAAGUCGAACGGAAAGGCCCUGCUUUUGUGGGGUGCUCGAGUGGCGAACGUGUGAGUAACACGUGAGUAACCUGCCCUUGACUUUGGGAUAACUUCAGGAAACUGGGGCUAAUACCGGAUAGGAGCUCCUGCUGCAUGGUGGGGGUUGGAAAGUUUCGGCGGUUGGGGAUGGACUCGCGGCUUAUCAGCUUGUUGGUGGGGUAGUGGCUUACCAAGGCUUUGACGGGUAGCCGGCCUGAGAGGGUGACCGGCCACAUUGGGACUGAGAUACGGCCCAGACUCCUACGGGAGGCAGCAGUGGGGAAUAUUGCACAAUGGGCGGAAGCCUGAUGCAGCAACGCCGCGUGCGGGAUGACGGCCUUCGGGUUGUAAACCGCCUUCGCCUGUGACGAAGCGUGAGUGACGGUAAUGGGUAAAGAAGCACCGGCUAACUACGUG